rnacentral:rRNA from 1 species
AUACAGAGGGUGCGAGCGUUAAUCGGAAUUACUGGGCGUAAAGCGCGCGUAGGCGGCUACUUAAGUCAGAUGUGAAAUCCCCGGGCUCAACCUGGGAACUGCAUCUGAUACUGGGUAGCUAGAGUUUAGGAGAGGGAAGUAGAUUUUCAGGUGUAGCGGUGAAAUGCAUAGAGAUCUGAAGGAAUACCAGUGGCGAAGGCGGCUUCCUGGCCUAAAACUGACGCUGAGGUGCGAAAGCGUGGGUAGCAAACGGGAUUAGAAACCCGAGUAGUCC